rnacentral:rRNA from 1 species
ACACUCCUGCGGGAGGCAGCAGUAGGGAAUCUUCGGCAAUGGGGGCAACCCUGACCGAGCAACGCCGCGUGAGUGAAGAAGGUUUUCGGAUCGUAAAGCUCUGUUGUAAGUCAAGAACGAGUGUGAGAGUGGAAAGUUCACACUGUGACGGUAGCUUACCAGAAAGGGACGGCUAACUACGUGCCAGCAGCCGCGGUAAUACGUAGGUCCCGAGCGUUGUCCGGAUUUAUUGGGCGUAAAGCGAGCGCAGGCGGUUUGAUAAGUCUGAAGUUAAAGGCUGUGGCUCAACCAUAGUUCGCUUUGGAAACUGUCAAACUUGAGUGCAGAAGGGGAGAGUGGAAUUCCAUGUGUAGCGGUGAAAUGCGUAGAUAUAUGGAGGAACACCGGUGGCGAAAGCGGCUCUCUGGUCUGUAACUGACGCUGAGGCUCGAAAGCGUGGGGAGCGAACAGGAUUAGAAACCCGGGUAGUCCCAUGAU